AAUAGUGCAAACAGUUGUAAUUGUGUCCUGUUUGUUUUCAAAAUUUGCUGCGCUUUGUUUUGACCUGAUGCUAUUUUCUGUCUAUUUUUUUUACAGCUCUGGGGGAUCAUUAAACAGGGGUACAAAUGCAAAGACUGUGGUGUUAACUGUCAUAAACAAUGCCAUGAGCUGCUGGUUCUGGCCUGUAGGAAGCUGAUUCGCUCUGGCUCUCUGGGCAGUGUUUCUCCAGUCAGAGGAACUCACAGCUCACUGCCCAGCAGCCCCACAUUGCCUGCCUGUCAAGAUGAGGACGAGGUGUUUGAGUUCCCCGCUGUCACACCAGCAGUUCCAGCUCUCGACACUCAGUCCAUCACCCUGAUGACGGGCUCAGCCCAGAGAAUCUCUGUGCGCCUGCAGAGAGCCACCACAAGCCAGGCUACGCAGACUGAACCACUGUGGCCUGAACAUGGCUGGGAGAUGGCA